GACGAACGCUGGCGGCGUGCCUAAUACAUGCAAGUCGACCUUAGUGGCGAACGGGUGAGUAACACGUGGGUAACCUGCCCAUCAGCAGGGGAUAAAACUUGGAAACAGGUGCUAAUACCGUAUACUGGUGGAUGCAACAGGGGGGCAUUAGCUAGUUGGUUAGGGAACGGCUCACCAAGGACACGAUGCCUAGCAGACCUGAGAGGUUGAUCGGCCACAUUGGGACUGAGACACGGCCCAAAGUCCUACGGGAGGCAGCAGUAGGGAAUCUUCGGCAAUGGACGAAAGUCUGACCGAGCAACGCCGCGUGAGUGAAGAAGGUUUUCGGAUCGUAAAACUCUGUUGUUAGAGAAGCGGUAUCUAACCAGAAAGCCACGGCUAACUACGUGCCAGCAGCCGCGGUAAUAC
rnacentral:rRNA from 1 species